rnacentral:rRNA from 1 species
UACGGGGGGGGCAAGCGUUAUCCGGAUUUACUGGGCGUAAAGCGCCCGUAGGCGGCCUGACAAGUUGGACGUGAAAGCUCCUGGCUUAACUGGGAGAGGCCGUUCAAAACUGUCAAGCUAGAGUCUGGAAGAGGAGAGCGGAAUUCCCGGUGUAGUGGUGGAAUGCGUAGAGAUCGGGAGGAACACCAGUGGCGAAAGCGGCUCUCUGGUCCAAAACUGACGCUGAGGGGCGAAAGCGUGGGGAGCGAACGGG